CCCGGUGCCCAUAGCGAGAAGGUUACACCCGUUCCCAUUCCGAACACGGCCGUUAAGGGUCUCUGCGGCGAUGGUACUACACAAUAGAGUGUGGGAGAGUAGCGCGGUGCCGGGA
rfam:Lentisphaerae bacterium GWF2_49_21 gwf2_scaffold_920, whole genome shotgun sequence.